CGCCGCCUCACAGGACCCGCCCGGCCGGCCCGAGGCCGCUCCCGCCACCCCUCACCCACCUGCGCGAGCAGCCUGAGUUUUUAAGGCGGCUGCCAUUUGUUUUCACCUUAUAAACAGCGGUAAGAAAGGCUGCUCGGCCUCAGAGGCUUGCUGGUGCGUGUUUGAGGCGCCUCUGGCUGCAAAGGUGAUUCAUGGGUGCGUGACGGGAGAAAACAGAAAGCAAAUCAAAAGUCUCUUUUUUGGGCUUGCUUUGAUCUGGUUUCCAGUUAAAUUGCAAAAGGAAGCUGUCAGUCUGGUGUAAGAAGAGCACGGAGAUGAGUGCUGGUCCGUAUUUAUAGAUAUUUCAGAUAAAUGGGUGUACUUUCUUCUCUUUGCCUACUGUGCAUAGGAAGGCAGCCUUUCUCAGUCAGGUUAUCUAGUUUGCUGAGGUUAUUUCUGUUCUGCUCAGCGAAGUUCCUGUAAGUCAAAAUCCAUGAGAUAUUAAAAGUCUGUUAAGUUUAGUGUUUGCCACUGUCGUAGUUGACCUCUCUGAGUGAGACCUCAGUCACUCUUCAUUCACAGCUCAGCAUUCAAACUGCUCACCUGUGGCUUUCAGCCAUAACCAAACAGCGCCUGCGAGAGGCUUGUCUUGUGCCACGAGCCUCACUUAUUCCAGGCUCAGUCCAGCAUCCAUCCCGCUCGUGGAAAUCCAAGAAAGAACCUGUUGACUUCCAUAAAAGUUGUAAACCCCUUAAAAACACGCGGUAGGUUUUGGUCUACAGCGCAGUAGUUUGUGACUUGGCUUUUUAACAGAGGAGCACGAAGGAACCCCUCAUCCCAGUUUACAUGCACGGGCCAACAAAAUCCUAACCCCGGCCAUGCCAUUUGGAAAACACCUUUGUCGGAUUAGUUUGUUCCAUGGCAAAGAGGGGAGCUGUAGGUGACAAAAGUCUAGUGGGACAUGCGUUGCUGCUGGGUGGCUGCACCCACAGUGUCACUGACAAGUUAGCCAGAAUAAACUCCUGGAGGUCUCCAGCCCAGCUGGCCCUCAAACCCGGACUAUGGCCGUCGCUAGAGCAGGUCAGCCACAGUUUUGCCUUGCUUCACCUGAAGACCCGCGAGGGCAGCGAGCGCACAGCCUCCCUGGGUGUCCUGUCCCACCUGCCUGGUGCUGCUGGUGUUUCCUAAUGCUCAGCCUGGCCCUCCCAAGGCCGCCUGCCAGCUGUGAAACCCCCCAGUGAUCGGGGGAGGUCCCUGGCUGGGGGAAGGCUGACAUCGUACCCAGCUUUCAGAGGUAAGAAAGAAGGGGUUUAAGUGCUGAAUGACCGUCAGCUAGACACCGGACACCUACUGAUGGGCACAAAUCGGUAUUUGUUCUCCAGCCCAGGGGCACAGAGAGCUCUUGCUGGCUCUAGGCCGGAUCGUGGAGGACACUACGCUCCUGGCCCUUCACCGCUCCCCAUCCGCUAGACAUGAUGCCGGCUCUGCUCAGGGCAGGAGCGGAGCGUGGAGUGGAGCCGGCGGCAGAGCGACUGUCGUAGGGCAACAGCUGUGCCCUCCGUGGCACGCCGGCCUUCUACCGCCGGUCACGCAGGAAUUAGGGUAACACGGGAAU